GGAGCUGAUGCCCAGGGAAACUGGAAGGUUCCUUCUGGAGCAACCAUCUGAUCCAAAGAAGCUGUUUGUGGUUACUGACCUUUGGUGGACCCCAAUACAAUGAAUCUAAUGGAGAAUAUAUAGUCCAUCAAAAUCAGCAGGGAAACCAACAAGAUGGUAUCCAAUGUAGGAGAAAUCUAAGGGUAACCCCGAUAGAGUAAUGACGCAGCCCUGGGUAACAGAUCUGAAAGGCCCAGAGGAAACAAAUCCAGACGGAGAUGCUGCAGGGACCCAAGAUGGUUAUUUCUGUGGGGAGGAAAGAGAGAAAAUUGUCUUCCGGGUUUAAAAGUAUAGAAUGUUGUACUGACGGAUUUUACAGACAUUUGAAGAUGUGGGGGAUUUAAACUUAGGUCCAAAGAGAACAAAGCAAAUG